rnacentral:rRNA from 1 species
GAUGAACGCUGGCGGCGUGCCUAAUACAUGCAAGUCGAGCGAACAGACGAGGAGCUUGCUCCUCUGACGUUAGCGGCGGACGGGUGGGUAACACGUGGAUAACCUACCUAUAAGACUGGGAUAACUUCGGGAAACCGGAGCUAAUACCGGAUAACAUGUUGAACCGCAUGGUUCAACAGUGAAAGACGGUUUUGCUGUCACUUAUAGAUGGAUCCGCGCCGCAUUAGCUAGUUGGUAAGGUAACGGCUUACCAAGGCAACGAUGCGUAGCCGACCUGAGAGGGUGAUCGGCCACACUGGAACUGAGACACGGUCCAGACUCCUACGGGAGGCAGCAGUAGGGAAUCUUCCGCAAUGGGCGAAAGCCUGACGGAGCAACGCCGCGUGAGUGAAGAAGGUCUUCGGAUCGUAAAACUCUGUUAUUAGGGAAGAACAAAUGUGUAAGUAACUAUGCACGUCUUGACGGUACCUAAUCAGAAAGCCACGGCUAACUACGUG